rnacentral:lncRNA from 1 species
GUUCCCGGCCCUGUCUGGUGCAUUCCCCCUGCUGCUGCCCGGUCGGCCGAGAAAGUUCCGGGCGACAGGUGGCCCGAGGCCCUCGAGCUGCGCGGACAGAGCGGCCCCGGAGUCGCGAGCGUGACGGGCUUGCUUGGAGGGCACUUGGUGGCCGGUAGCACCAUAAAGGCCAUAAUUUGGUGUGUGGGUGUGGGGGUGUGUGUGUUAACGGCAUUGGUUUGAUUCACACUUCUGAUGAAAGAAGCCUGUUUAAAAAAGAAAAGAAAAAAGAAGCCUGUUUAAAGGGUGCAGGGUGUUACGAUUGUUAACGUGCAGUGGGCAGUUCACCUGCUACGCUAUCCAACAGGCGCCCUGCUCAGGCCCGACCUCGCACUGCCGCGCGGGCCGGUCCCCCCCGGCCCGGGUAACUGGGACGUCCUGGGAAAAUAAAUUAAUCACGUACGGAGUGAGAGAACAGGAAACCUGCCGAGAAAAAGAUCGAUAAGCAGACAAUUACACCAAGCCAACUUCAGUGCAAUCGUUAAAGCUUACACAUGGGUGCACGCUUGGGAGCCGUGAGCUACCAUGUUAAAAGGCCAACUUCCUAAGGAAAAAUGAUGGAAAGAGAUCCCGAGAUCCUAUGAAAUGGAAGAGGGAGGACAACCCAGCUAUCCCAACAUCCCAGCUGAGGCCAGCCACACACGUGACUGUCUGCAAAGCCCGUCGGGCCUGGGUCCAGCUCAGGUUGCAGAAUUGUUGGCAAGUAAAACGUUUGUUGUCGUUCUGACUCAAAAACAUGGAGACAAAGCAGACUUGUAGGGUAUUACAGUCAACAACUAGACCCUACAGCUAAAGGACUGUCUCCUUGCAUGAUGCAACAACCAUCACAGCUCUGCAAGAGCAACCAAACCACCAAGGAUGCGAUCACCCCUCACUGCCUUCGAUACGCAUUCUGUGGAAACGCUUCUAAACUUGCAUCACACUCAACACGAUCAGUUAGUAACUGGCUUCUCAUGAAGUUAUUCUCUCAGCCGCAUACUACAAUGUCCAGAUGUCAUCUAAAUCCUGCCACCCUCUCCCCCACCUUCAGCUGAAACGCUGCAUGACUGCAUCAUCUUACCUGACCAGCUCUCUCCUAGGACAGACAUGCAAGAACCCCCCUCACUAACGCUGAUGUUAUUUGGUUUACAGAUGGCUCUUACUUAAAGAUGCAGCUGGAAGAUGGAGUCUCGCUCUGUUGCCCAGGCUGGAGUGCAAUGGCGUGAACUCCACCUCCUGGGUUCACGCAAUUCUCCUGCCUCAGCCUCUUGACUAGCUGGGACUACAGGCACCCGCCACCAUGCCGGGCUAAUUUUUUGUAUUUUUAGUAGAGACGGGGUUACACUCUGUUAGCCAGAAUGGUCUCGAUCUCCUGACCUCGUGAUGUGCCCGCCUCGGCCUCCCAAAGUGCUGGGAUUACAGGCGUGAGCCACCGCGCCCGGUCCAGCCAUCUUUCUUAACGUGCAUACACGAUGUGACUCACUGGAGCCCUGAUAAGAUUAUUGAUUUCUUGAGGAGAACAAUGUUGUCGGAAACCUUCUCCAACUGUUGCUCACGGGUAUACAGUCAGGGCUGUCUUCCCAGAAUAUAAUGCAAGGAAACCUUGACCCAGUUCUCCAUGUCAUUUUCCUUUACCAGAAGGCCCUUUCGAGGUAUGGCAACUAGAUUUUUUCAGCUACCACCAUCACAAAGAUACAGGCACAUCCUAGUGAUGGUUUGUGUAUUUUCUCAUGGGUAGAAGCAUUUCCAUGCAGAAGAGCAGCAGCCUUGGCGGUAAGUAAAAUUAUCUUAGAGAAAAUUAUUCCGAUUUGGGGAGUUCCUCAAGAACUUUAUAGCAACAGAGGCACUCAUUUCACUGCACAAAUAAUCCAGUUAGUAUGCAAAAUCUGGCCCAUUUUCCAGCAUUUCCAUUGUGCCUAUCACCCCAGUCAUCUGGGUUAGUAGAAUGCACAAGCAGAAUAAUCAAAACUCAUUUGGCAAAAUUAACUGAAGUUUUAAAACUCCCUUGACUGGAAGCUCUUUCUUGUUUUUGCUUCACCUAAGAUCAGCCCUUAUGGGUAAACACCAACUGUCUUCAUCUGAAAUUAUAACGGACAGACCUAUGAAAUUGUCUCCAGGAAAUUGUAAAUCGAUGAUAUUAAAAAGGGACAGGUUGUAUUAUUGCAGCAGCCUCAUAAGGCACCUAAGUAAAAACUGUUAUUUAGUAAAAGAUUCUUUCCACAGUGAGCUCCAAGAAGCAAAAACUCAAGGAACACAUACUUCAGCCAGGAGACUUUGUAGGAAACAGCAUCCUUUAAAGGACUUUCUCCACCAAGGAGGAAGGAACCUUAUCAGGGACUCCUAACCAACCCUUGUGCCACUAAGCUUAAAGGAGUUGAUUCCUGGAUACCUGCCACCCAUGCAAGGAAAGCUGCUUUGUCAAUUUGGACUUCAUCUCAAAUUGGUGAUCUAAAACUAAAACUCUCCAGAACCAACAAGGAUGAGAAGAAAACAACAUGUGAGGCGAUCAGCCUUCUCAAGACACCUGACCAGGCCUGUAUCUAGACAAACCCUUAAUAUAAUCAUCGUCAGUAGAUGAGGAAGGUCUUCCUUUACAAGUUCCCACCACACUUCCUUCUUUUUGUCCCUAGUUCUUCUGUUUUGUUGCUACCAUCACCAGCCAUUGCCCAUGAAACAAACAUCUUCUUGCAGUAGGCUUGGGCCUGUGCUAGUAAAUUACAGGACAACACUCGUUAGGUGUGUGGCCUUGCGCCCCUUUCUGGUGGUUCUGGCCUACCAUGGUGGCAGCUCCUCUUCAAGGACAAGAGUAGACAGAAUAUCAGAAAUGUGUCUGUGUUUCUCAGGACAGUCAUUGGUGCUUAGCACUAGUAUGAUGAAGGCAAGUGUGCAUCACUGGCCUAUGAAUGAUACUUUACAAAGCAAAAGCCAUAGGAAGAGCUUUCCAGUAAAAGUCCACAUACCUUAAUGCUGGUACUACACCAGCUGAGAGAUUAGACCACUCAAUAUCGGGAUGGCAUAACACAAACUUGGGAUGGUUUCACCUGACUUACCCUCUCUUUGGGUCAACUUAGUUCACGUGCCCCUUUACAUUGGGAACAAAAGAAUCAUAUCAAAGAUCCCUGGCCCAGGAGCACUGGAGAUACGGGAUGGAACCCAGAGAACAGUGCAUCUACACCAUUGUGUUACAGAGUCCUGGCUGGCAUGCCACUGAGUGGGCAUAGUGACCGGGUGUUUACUGGUUGGCUCCAGAUGGAACAUCUGGACUCUGUGAUAAUGACCUAUGGCCAUGGUUACCCCCAAGGUGGCCAGGACACCAUUCUCUGCAUUAUGCCUGGACAUAGGAUGGAAUAGUUCACAACCGACAUAGAUAGUAGAUAAAACUAGGUAGUCUGAAUAAUUCAAAGUAUGGACUUUGAUUCAUAAUGCUUCAAUACUGGUUCUUAAAUGUAACAAACAACACACUUUUAAUCUGUGCAUUGUGAGGUGCUGAGCGAGAGGGGCCGGCUGCCAGGUGCCGGGUGGUGGGUGGGUCAAAGGCCAAACGCAGGUUCCACCAGGCAGGUGUCACUCCCGGCAGGAGUAGAAACCAGAGGCCUCACUGAGAGUGCCAGCCCCCACCCUGGUGUUUCAUUUUCCCCCACGGCACUGGGUGAAGGUUAGGUGUGUCUGUGAAGACAGCAGUGAAGGGAUACUGUCUCACUGCCCAGAGAGCCCCUAACAAAAGGUUUCUGCCAUUCUAUGGCCCUGGAGUCAGGGGAAGAGAGAGAGGGAGGCAGCUGAGAGUGGAAAAGUGCUGAAUGCAAAGUCAGAGUGGGAAAAAUGUCUUCCAGGCCCCCUGAAAAGGAGGCUUUGGCAGAGGUACCUAAGACAGGCCUCAGCCAAGGGACCCAUGUGGUCUCGGAAGGGAGGUGCCUGGGUUGGGCACAGGGGAUACCCAGGGCACCCAGGUCCUUCCCCGCAACAGCCUUCAGACACGGCAGUGCACUGGCCACACACCAUGAGGCAGCCAGGUGGGGCCUUUGUCAUCACCCGUGGUCAGACCUGAAAGAUCCCACAGGGCAUUUGGGCUGCAGCCAGCCAACUUUCCAGGCAGCAUGUUGCAUUCCAACUCUGUUUCAAUAAAACUAGUUUCGAAAAAGAAAGAAACAUUUCAAAAUAUUGACGGGAUGCUGCUAAGUUUUGAUCGUUGCAUUAGAAAGAAAGAGAUUAAAGGAAUAGUUUAAGCUUCCGCACCAGGAAUCUAGAAAAGGAAAACCAAAUCAAGCUCAAACUAAGUAGAAGGAAGGGGAGUGAGAUCAGAAUGGAUGCUGGGCGCGGUAGCUCACACCUGUAAUCCCAGCACUUUGGGAGGCCAAAGUGGGUGGAUCACCUGAGGUCAGGAGUUUGUAACAAGGCUGGCCAACAUGGUAAAACCCCAUCUCUACAAAAAUACAAAAAUUAGCUGGGCGUAGUUGUACGCACCUGUAAUCCCAGCUGCUCAGGUGGCUGAGGCAAGAGAAUCACUUGAACCCAGGAAGCAGAGGUUGCAGUGAGCCACGAUGACACCACUGCUCUCCAGCCUGGGGGACAGAGAGAGAGACUUUAUCUAAAUUCCAAAACUUUGGGAGGCCAAGGGCAGAUCACCUGAGGUCAGGAGUUUGAGACCAGCCUAUCCAACAUGGUGAAACUCCAUCUCUACUAAAAACACAAAAAUUAGCCAGGCAUGCUGCCGCGUGCCUGCAAUCCCAGCUACUCGGGAAGCUGAGACAGAAGAAUCCUUUGAAACUAGUAGGCGGAGAUUGCAGUGAGCUGACACCAUGCCACUGCACUCCAGCCUGGGUGACAGAGCAAGACUCCAUCUCAAAAAAAAGAAAAAAAAAGAUCCGAAUGGCAAACAGUGACCUAGAAAACAGUAAGACAAAUACGGAAAACAGAAGAAACUAAAAGAAGUUGAUUCUAGGAAAACAAACUGAUCAGAUUUGCUAGACUGGACAAGCCAAAAGGAAAAGAAAAAAACAGAAAUAUGCCAAAUCAGGAAUAAAAGAAAUAACAUACAAGGGUCCAUGGUGAAACUAAAAAUAUCACAAAGAAAUUUUAAAAUGUUUAAAAAAAUAGAUAAUUUAGAUAAAAUGGACAAAUUCCUAAAGAGACAUAAAUUAUGAGCACUGACCAACAAUGAAUAGAAAAUUUGAACAGAUGUAUAAGUAACCAAGUUGAAUUAUAGUUAACUACAUGCCCACAAAGAAAAGAUCUGAGCCAAAUGGCUUCAUUGGUGAAUUUUCUCAAAUGCUUAAGAAACAAAUGAUAUCAAUCUUACAGGAAAUAGAGACAAAAUAACACUUCCCAAAUAUUUUACAAGGCCAGUAUUAACCUGAUACCAAAGCCAGGCAAACACAUCAUAAGAAAACUAUAAAAUGAGAAAGGUACAACUUUUUAACAAAGUGAUUGCAGAUUAAAUCCAGCAACAUGACCAAGUGGGGUUUAUCUGAGGAAUGCAAGGUUGGGCUAACAUCUGAAAGCCAAUUAAUGUCAUAACUCCUCAAUAGAAUAAAAGAAAAAAUCCAUAUGACCUUCUAAUAGCCACAGAAAAAGCAUUUGACAAAACCAACCCUUUCAUAAUAAAAACUCCCAACCUAAGACUACAAAGAAACUUUCACAACCUGAUAAAGGUCAUCUAUAAAAUAAACCUGCAGCUAUCUAAGUUUCAGAGAAUCAUCUUUUUGUCUUAUUUGUUUCCUCUGUUAUGUCUCUGCUUUUAUUUCAUUAAUCUCUUCAUUAUCUCCUUCAUUCUGUUUGCUUUGGGUUUAUUUGCUCUUCUAUUUCUAGAUUCUUGAGGUGAACACUUAGGUUAUUGUUUGAGACUUUUCCUCUUUUCUAAUGUAAACAUUUAGUGCUAUAAAUUUCUGUCUAAGCACUGCUUUGCUGAGCUUUUGAAUUUUGAUAUGUUGUAUUUUCAUGUUUAUUCUGUUGAGUGUACUUUUACGUAUUUCUCUUGAUCCUUAUUCUUUGACCCAUGGAUAAUGAAAAGUGUGUUAUUUCUUUUUCAUGUGUUUGGAGAUUUUCCUGUUAUUUUGUUGUUGAUUUCUAGUGGGGGUAAGAGAAGACAGACUAAGAUUUUAAUUCUUUUAAAUAUGUUGAGGUUUGUUUGAUAGUCAGAAGUGGUAUAUCUUUUUAUAUGUUUUGUGGGCACCUGAAAAGAAUAUAUAUUCUGCUGUUGUUGAUCGCCAUGUUCUCCAAAUACCCAUUAGAUCCAGUUGAUUGUUCAUAAGUUGUUCUCUGUCCUUGUGAAUUUUCUGUUUAGUUGUUCUAUCAAUUGGCGGGAAAGGAGAGUAGGGUCUCUAACAAUAAUUGUGGAUUGCUGUUUCUCUUUUGAGCUCUAUCAAUUAAUACAUUUUUUUUUUUUUGAGACAGAGUCUCGCUCUGUCACCCAGGCUGGAGUGCAGUGGUGCAAUCUCAGCUCACUGCAAGCUCCACCUCCCGGGUUCACACCAUUCUCCUGCCUCAGCCUCCCCAGUAGCUGGGACUACAGGCACCCGCCACCACACCCAGCUAAUUUUUUUGUAUUGUUAGUAGAGACGGGGUUUCACCAUGUUAGCCAGGAUGGUCUUGAUCUCCUGACCUCGUGAUCCACCCGUCUCGGCCUCCCAAAGUGCUGGGAUUACAGGCAUGAGCCACCCUGCCCAGCCAAUUAAUACAUUUUGCAGCUCUGUCGUUUAGUGUAUAUAUGUUUAAAAUUGCUAUGCCAUCUUAGCAAAUUGACCUUUAUCUCAUUAUAUAAUUGUCUUGGCUCUGAAGUCUACUUUAUCUGAUAUUAAUAGGACUGCCUCUUUUGAUUGUUUGCAUGGUAUAUAUAUUUUUCUAUUUUUUUCCCCUUUCAUUCUACUAUGCGAUUGUGAUUGAAGGAUAGACAGCAUAUAGUUGGGCCAUUUUUUUUAAUGCUGCCUUCUAAUCUCUAUCUUCUAGUUGGUAUAUUUAGACCAUUUACAUUUGAUGUAAUUUGAUAUGUAAGGCUUGAGUCUGCUAUUAUAUUUUUUGUUUUCUAUUCAUUCUCUGUUUUCCAUUUCUCUCUUUUUUGUGCUUUCCUGUGAAUUAUUUGAACAAUUUUUUUUAGAAUUCCAGUUUGAUUUGUCCAUAAUGUUUCCCAGUGCAUCUUUUUUGAGGAGUUUCUUUAGGUGCUACUUUACAUGUACAUAACUUAUUUCUGUCUACUGCUGUUGAUAUUUUAUGGUGUGAAUGAACGCAAUCUCCUUUUAUGUCCCUUUACAUUCCCCUGUUUAUGGUAUAAAUAUUUCCUCUACAAACAUUGAGAACCACGCUAAAUGGUGGUACUGUCUGUGCCUCAUAUAUAAUUUAGAAAACUCAAGAGUAGAAGAGAGCCUAUUGUAGUUAUUCAUAUUUUCAUUCUUUUCAUUGUACUUUCUUCCUGAUGUUUCGUGAUUCUGUCUUUUUCAUUUCCUAUUUCAAGAACUACCCAUUCUUUUGGGAUAGGUAUGAUGGCAGCAAAUUCUUUUUGUUUUCCUCCAUGUGAAAUAUCUUGACUCUCCUUUCAUUCCUGAAGACUAUUUUCACAAGAUAUAGAAUUCUGAGUUAACACUUGAUAAAUGUUGUGCCACUUCCUUCUGGCCUUUGUGGUUUGUAGUGAGAACUUUUCUUUCAUUCAAAUAGUUUUCCCCUGAUGCUAGGAUGUUAUUUCUCUCUGGCUGUUUUCAAUAUUUUUUUUUCUUUGUCUUCAGUUUUUCGGAGUUUGACUAUGAAAUGUCUUGACAUGGUUUCCUUGAGUUUGUUCAGCUUCUUGAAUCUAUAGGUUUAUGUCUUUUGCCAAAUUUGGGGAUUUUUCAGACAUUAUUCCUUGACAACUUUUUAGUCCUAUGCACAUUCUGCUCUCCUUCUAGAACCCUGGUGAUGUGGAUGUUAAUUAUUUUGUUAUAGUCCCAUGGGUCUCUGAGGCUUUCUUCAUUUUUAAAAAAUAUAUUUUCUCUUUGUUGUUCAGAUUGAAUGACUUCUAUUAUUCUAACAUUUCCAGACUUCUAUUUUGGGUAAUGAAAGACUAGUUAAUUCAGACCAAUCCUCCCAUUUCAAACACAUGAAACUAGUGGAUACAAUAUAAAAACCAUAUGUUCAAAGGUACUGGAACAUAACGCAGUGAAAAAACCUGGGAACCAAGAUUUGGGAGAAUAAGAACAUAUAGAAGGAUGACCUUGGCAUUUGAAAUGCUUUUCCCCCAUGGAUUUCCUCCAAUUUCCAGAAGAAAUGGCUGGGAUACUGACAAGCUGAAACUUACUUUAAACUUACUUCUGAUCUUACAAAAACAAAAAUUGGAGUUUAUGGCAUGAUAAGGAAGAGAGUGGUGGCUGGUCUGUCAGCCUGACUAAUGGGCUCUUAAGGUUGCUUAGGGAUCUGGGUUGGGAACUGAUGGUAAAAUUGCAGAAUACAGACUAAGCUGUAAAUAGAUUGUCCUCUUUAGGGAUUUGUGCUCAGCUUUAAAUUAUCUUAACUUAUGAUUGGAUUAAGAUGGUGUGCAGGAUUGCUAGUGCCCCUAGUACUUGCAAGAAUCAAACAUAAAUCCCCAUUAGAGAAAUAAAACUUCAUUCUAGCCUCAAAGUACCUCUAUAAGCUUUCACAUAGUGUCUCAGUCACACAAUACAAUUUAACCAGUCAGGUGAGGAGACAACGAGUGUUUUGGAAAACCAAGAGAAACAACAGAAAACUAGAAAGAGAUUUACAGGUGUUACAGACAAUGCACUAUGAAUAAGAUGCUCAAGGGAAAUCAAAGAAAAGAUUGGGAAUGUUUGGCAAAGAAUUUAGAGAACAACAACAAAAAAAAGCCAGUAGGAACUCUAGAACUAAAAAACAUUAACUGAAAUUAAAAAUCAACGUGUGACCUUAACAGCAGUUUAGAUACAACUAAAAAAAAAAAUGGUGGUGACAUGAAGAAAACAGACACAUGAAAACAUGCUGAGAAAAGGAUUUAAAAUAUGAGAAAGAAUAUGAAAUACAUAGGGGACAGAGUGAAAAAGCAUAACAUUCAUAUAAUUGGAAUCCAGAAGGAGGGGAGAGAGAAAAUGUGUCAGAGACAAUAACUGAAGAGAACAUGGCCAGUGACACUCCCAAUAUGGCAAAAGACAUCAAGGCAAUGAUAAAAGUGCCACAAACCACAGCCACACUUGCCUAAGGAAAGCCAUGCCGAGGCAAAUGUAAGCAAAAUCCUCGGAGAGCAAAAACAGAGACAGUCUUAAUAGCCAGAGGAAAAAAGAGGUUAUCGUCAAAGGCGCACCAAUUAACCUGAUAGUUGAUAUUUCAGCAGAAAGAAAACAUAGAGGCCAGAUGAAGAUGGAAUUAUAUUUCCAAGUGCAGAAAGAAAACAACUGCCAAUCUAGAAUUCUAUACUCAGCCUAAAUAUAUUUUACAAAGAAAGAGAAACAAAGGCUUUUUUAGAAGAACGGAAAUGAAAAAGAUUUACCACCAGCAGAUUUAUAGUAAAUGAAACACUAAAGACCAUUUCCUUCAGGCAGAAGAAAAAUGAUACUAGAUGAAGGCUAGCACUGUAGGCAGGAACACACAACAGUGGAUGCCAUGAAUACAGGAUAAAUAUGAAUGGAUAUUGAUUAGAAAAAACAAUGUCUUAGGUUUAACAUAUGCAAACUUAAAUACAUAACAAAAAUAACUCACCAAUAAAGAAGACGGUAAAUAUUAUUAAAGUGCUCUGUUACCUUUGAAAUGUCCUAAAAGAGGUAAAAGUACCAUUUAUAUUAAACUUUGAUAUGUCAAGGAUAUUUGUUGUAGUUUCUAGGGAAACCAUUAAGUGAAGAGUGAAAAUACUGAUAACUACCAAACUAAUAAAGAGUAAAUUAUCGCCGGGUACGGUGGCUCAUGCCUGUAAUCCGAGCACUUUGGGAGGCUGAGGUGGGCGGAUCGUGAGGUCAGGAGAUGGAGACCAUCCUGGCUAACAUGGUGAAACCCUGUCUCUACUAAAAAUACAAAAAAUUAGCCGGGCAUCGUGGCGCACGCCUGUAUAGUCCCAGCUACUCAGGAGGCUGAGGCAGGAGAAUCGCUUGAACCUGGAAGUUGGAG